rnacentral:rRNA from 1 species
GACGAACGCUGGCGGCGUGCUUAACACAUGCAAGUCGAGCGGAAAGGCCUGCUUUCCCUUGUGGAUUGCGGGUACUCGAGUGGCGAACGGGUGAGUAACACGUGAGUGAUCUGCCCCCAACUUGGGUAUAAGCCUGGGAAACUGGGUCUAAUUCCCGAUAGGACUGCAGGGUGGUGCCUGUGGUGGAAAACGAUUUUCUAGUGGUUGGGGAUGAGCUCGCGGCCUAUCAGCUUGUUGGUGGGGUAAUGGCCUACCAAGGCGGCGACGGGUAGCCGGCCUGAGAGGGUGGACGACCACAUUGGGACUGAGAUACGGCCCAGACUCCUACGGGAGGCAGCAGUGGGGAAUAUUGCACAAUGGGCGGAAGCCUGAUGCAGCGACGCCGCGUGGGGGAUGACGGCCUUCGGGUUGUAAACUCCUUUCGACCGCGAGGAAGCCACCUGGUUGGAAGGGUGGUGACGGUAGUGGUAGAAGAAGCACCGGCUAACUACGUG